ACCUUGGCUUUAGACUGCUUACUGCUUGAAACAGUCUCACAGUUACAGUAACAGUCUACAGUCAUGGCU
ensembl:miRNA